GGUAGAACUGAAGAUGAUGUGAAGGAUUUUGUCUGGUUCAUUUGGAGUGCAUUUGAAGGGUGAAAAAGAAGACAAAGAGGAAGCUUGAGAGACUCGAGUCUGGAUACUAGCCAUGGAGGAGGAUUAUAUGAAGAGGAGCCACCCUGAUGUCAUAAUGCAGCAGCAUACCAGCAAUGUGGAUAAGGGCUACUCCGAGACCAAGCGCGCCGAUUCGGGGCCAAACGGCUGCAUGCGGUGCUGCAUGAGUACCAAGAGGUGCCUGAUGAGCCCAGAAUGUGGCAGAGCGCUCAGCAUCGCUAACGUCAUCGCUAUGUGUGGCAUGUGUAUCCGCAUGUGGACGUAGAUUUCUGCUGCUUCUGAGUCAAGAACAGUUUGUCUCCUGGCGGCUGCCGUCCUGAACUAAAAACAAUAGGAGGCAUCAUGAAUUAUGGAAUCUCUACUAAGCAGCCAUUAUAACAUACCCGAUUGAACUCCUAUUUAUGAAACCCUAUUUUAUCACCUCAAUCAUUAAAUAAAUAUCUUUUGAGUCAUA